rnacentral:piRNA from 1 species
UAACAGUGCAUACAAUGAUACAGAUAAU